rnacentral:rRNA from 1 species
GAUGAACGCUGGCGGCGUGCCUAAUACAUGCAAGUAGAACGCUGAAGGAAGGAGCUUGCUCUUUCCGGAUGAGUUGCGAACGGGUGAGUAACGCGUAGGUAACCUGCCUGGUAGCGGGGGAUAACUAUUGGAAACGAUAGCUAAUACCGCAUAACAGUAGAUGUUGCAUGAUAUCUACUUAAAAGGUGCAAUUGCACCACUACCAGAUGGACCUGCGUUGUAUUAGCUAGUUGGUGAGGUAACGGCUCACCAGGGCGACGAUACAUAGCCGACCUGAGAGGGUGAUCGGCCACACUGGGACUGAGACACGGCCCAGACUCCUACGGGAGGCAGCAGUAGGGAAUCUUCGGAAAUGGACGGAAGUCUGACCGAGCAACGCCGCGUGAGUGAAGAAGGUUAUCGGAUCGUAAAGCUCUGUUGUAAGAGAAGAACGAGUGUGAGAGUGGAAAGUUCACACUGUGACGGUAUCUUACCAGAAAGGGACGGCUAACUACGUG